GAAAGAUUGAAGUUAUCGGUCGUUGCUGAAGGGGACAAGACAAAGAGUGGCGCACGCUCGGAUCCAGGAACAACAGACCUUCCACGACCACAACGAGAGCUCCAGCUCUGACUUUCCUGGCCCAUCACAAUCAUAACGACCUAACAGCCCAGUAGGACCGAUGGCCAGAGAUGGAGGAGGAGGGAGACAGACGCAGCAGAGGUCGGGGACCUUGAUUAGGAAGACUCCAACAGAACGCCCUGCUAACGAUGCCCUCGCUCAACAGCCUGGUGGGAAUCGGAUGGAUGAUCUUUGUGCAUGGCUGCGCUAUGCGCCGGACAGAGCUGGAGGUGCCAGUCGCG